CAGCAGACACAUUCCAGCCAAUCAGCAGCAGACCCUCCCUCCCAGACCCUCCCACCUCCUGGACAGCAUCCAUUUUACAUUCAUUGUGAAACUGCAUUCUUAGUGAGCUGUCCAGGAGGUGGGAGAGUCUGGGGGGGAGGGUCUGCUGCUGAUUGGCUGGAAUGUGUCUGCUG
rnacentral:miRNA from 1 species